rnacentral:rRNA from 1 species
AUUGAACGCUGGCGGCAGGCUUAACACAUGCAAGUCGAGCGAGCGGCGGACGGGUGAGUAAUGUAUGGGAAACUGCCUGAUGGAGGGGGAUAACUACUGGAAACGGUAGCUAAUACCGCAUACCAUCAGAUGUACCCAGAUGGGAUUAGCUAGUAGGUGGGGUAAUGGCUAACAUAGGCGACGAUCCCUAGCUGGUCUGAGAGGAUGACCAGCCACACUGGGACGGAGACCAGGACCAGACGCCUACGGGAGGCAGCAGUGGGGAAUAUUGCACAAUGGGCGCAAGCCUGAUGCAGCCAUGCCGCGUGUGUGAAGAAGGCCUUCGGGUUGUAAAGUACUUUCAGUGGGGAGGCGUUACUCACAGAAGAAGCACCGGCUAACUCCGUGCCAGCAGCCGCGGUAAUAC